rnacentral:rRNA from 1 species
UACGAAGGGGGCUAGCGUUGUUCGGAAUUACUGGGCGUAAAGCGCACGUAGGCGGAAUGUUAAGUCAGGGGUGAAGUCCCGGGGCUCAACCCCGGAACUGCCUUUGAUACUGGCAUUCUCGAGUCCGGAAGAGGUGAGUGGAAUUCCGAGUGUAGAGGUGAAAUUCGUAGAUAUUCGGAGGAACACCAGUGGCGAAGGCGGCUCACUGGUCCGGUACUGACGCUGAGGCGCGAAAGCUAGGGGAGCAAACAGG